AACGAACGUUGGCGGCGUGGAUUAGGCAUGCAAGUCGCGGGAAUCCCGGCAAUGGGGGAACCGGCGUAAGGGGCAGUAAUGCGUGGGUACCUACCCCGGGGUCCGGGAUAGCCGUCCGAGAGGGCGGGUAAUACCGGAUGACCUCGGGAGAGCAAAGCUCCGGCGCCCCGGGAGGGGCCCACGUGAUAUUAGCUAGUUGGUGAGGUGACGGCUCACCAAGGCGGAGAUGUCUAGCGGGUGUGAGAGCACGACCCGCGCCACUCGCACUGAGACACUGGCGAGACACCUACGGGUGGCUGCAGUCGAGGAUCUUCGGCAAUGCGCGCAAGCGCGACCGAGCGACGCCGCGUGGGCGAUGAAGGCCUUCGGGUUGUAAAGCCCUGUCGAGGGGGAGAAAAGCGGGAAACCGUGUGAUCUAUCCCUGGAGGAAGCUCGGGCUAAGUUCGUGCCAGCCGCCGCAGUAACAC
rnacentral:rRNA from 1 species